rnacentral:rRNA from 1 species
GAAUCAACGCUGGCGGCGUGCCUAACACAUGCAAGUCGAACGAGAAAGUGACUUCGGUCACUGGACAGUGGCGUCCGGGUGAGUAACACGUGGGUAAUCUACCUUCGGGUGGGGAAUAACGUCGUCGAAACGGAGACGCUAAUACCGCAUAAUGCGAGCGGGCACCUUAUGGUGAAUAGUUGUUAAAGCGGGGGAUCGCAAGACCUCGCGCCUGAAGAGGAGCCUGCGGCAGAUUAGCUAGUUGGUGAGGUAAUGGCUCACCAAGGCUGCGAUCUGUAGCUGGUCUGAGAGGACGGCCAGCCACACUGGCACUGACACACGGGCCAGACUCCUACGGGAGCAGCAGUGGGAAUUUUGG